rnacentral:rRNA from 1 species
UUGAAUUGAAGAGUUUGAUCAUGGCUCAGAUUGAACGCUGGCGGCAGGCUUAACACAUGCAAGUCGAACGGUAGCAGGAAGAAAGCUUGCUUUCUUUGCUGACGAGUGGCGGACGGGUGAGUAAUGCUUGGGAAUCUGGCUUAUGGAGGGGGAUAACUGUGGGAAACUGCAGCUAAUACCGCGUAUUCUCUGAGGAGGAAAGGGUGGGACCUUAGGGCCACCUGCCAUAAGAUGAGCCCAAGU